rnacentral:rRNA from 1 species
CACGUAGGGGGCGAGCGUUGUCCGGAUUUAUUGGGCGUAAAGAGCUCGUAGGCGGCUCGGUAAGUCAGGUGUGAAAUUUCAGGGCUCAACCCUGAAAAGCCACCUGAUACUGCCGUGGCUAGAGUCCGGUAGGGGAGUGGGGAAUUCCUGGUGUAGCGGUGAAAUGCGCAGAUAUCAGGAGGAACACCAGCGGCGAAGGCGCCACUCUGGGCCGGUACUGACGCUGAGGAGCGAAAGCGUGGGGAGCAAACAGG